rnacentral:lncRNA from 10 species
GUAGGCACUUAUUGAGCAAUAAACCUGUGGAUUUACGCUUAUGGGUUUCCAGAAGCAACUUUGCCACAAUCCUGUGAAAUCUUGCUCACAGUUCAUUGAGCUCUGACUGGAUCUUGAAUUAUAGCUGAUGCUCCAAACAGAAAGUAAUAUUUGUCACAUCCUAUAACUGUAUGUUCUUCAGCUUUGGAAAACCAUGGAUUGAAACAUUCACUCUGCUGGGUCUGAAGUAACCCCCUAAAUCCUGGAUCACAAAGUUCUAAGGUGCCACUGUAUUUUUAAGAGUAAUUCAUAUGCAGGACAUUGUACAUACCUAAACACAAUAUAUCUUCAUAACCUUAAUGAAGCCAUGGAACCACCACCUGGAUCAUUCUCACCAAGUGUACAGAUGUUCCCUUUUCAC